rnacentral:rRNA from 1 species
UGCCAGCCGCCGCGGUAAUACGGAGGGUCCAAGCGUUGUCCGGAAUUAUUGGGUUUAAAGGGUGCGUAGGCGGUCUUUUAAGUCAGAGCUGAAAUCCAACGGCUUAACCGUUGAACUGGCUUUGAUAUUGGAAGACUUGAGUACACUAGAGGUAGGCGGAAUUUAUGAUGUAGCGGUGAAAUGCAUAGAUAUCAUAAAGAACACCAAUUGCGUAGGCAGCUUACUGGAGUGUAACUGACGCUGAUGCACGAAAGCGUGGGUAGCGAACAGGAUUAGAUA